rnacentral:rRNA from 1 species
CUUGAACGCUGGCGGCAGGCCUAACACAUGCAAGUCGAGCGGAGCGGCGGACGGGUGAGUAAUGCCUAGGAAUCUGCCUGGUAGUGGGGGAUAACGUCCGGAAACGGGCGCUAAUACCGCAUAAGAUCAGAUGAGCCUAGGUCGGAUUAGCUAGGUGGUGGGGUAAAGGCCUACCAAGGCGACGAUCCGUAACUGGUCUGAGAUGAUGACCAGCCACACGGGAACUGAGACACGGUCCAGACUCCUACGGUAGGAAGCAGUGGGGAAUAUUGCACAAUGGGCGCAAGCCUGAUGCAGCCAUGCCGCGUGUGUGAAGAAGGCCUUCGGGUUGUAAAGCACUUUCAGCGGGGAGGCGUUACCCGCAGAAGAAGCACCGGCUAACUCCGUGCCAGCAGCCGCGGUAAUUC